rnacentral:rRNA from 1 species
AUUGAACGCUGGCGGCAGGCCUAACACAUGCAAGUCGAGCGGAGCGGCGGACGGGUGAGUAAUGCCUAGGAAUCUGCCUGGUAGUGGGGGAUAACGUCCGGAAACGGGCGCUAAUACCGCAUUCUAUCAGAUGAGCCUAGGUCGGAUUAGCUAGUUGGUGGGGUAAAGGCCUACCAAGGCGACGAUCCGUAACUGGUCUGAGAGGAGGAUCAGUCAAACUGGAACGUAGAAACGGGCCAGACUCCUACGGGAGGGAGGAGGGGGGAAUAUUGGGAAAUGGGCGAAAACCUGAUCCAGCCAUGCCGCGUGUGUGAAGAAGGUCUUCGGAUUGGAAAGGACUUUAAGUUGGGAGGCGUUACCAACAGAAUAAGCACCGGCUAACUUCGUGCCAGCAGCCGCGGUAAUUC